GGGGGAGACACAGUGAGUGGGGGUGACUGGUGACAGAGUGAGGGAGUGGGUGACUAGUGACAGAGGGAGGGAGAUAGGGGUGACUAGUGACAGAGGGAGGGAAUGGGUGACUAGUGGCAGAGUGAGGGAGGGAAGAGAUGACUAGUGGCAAAGUGAGGGAGGGAAGGGGUGACUAGUGACAGAGUGAGGGGAUGACUGGUGACAGAGUAAGGGGGGGUGACUGUCACUAGUCACCCCAUCCCUCUCUCUGUCACUAGUCACUCCCUCCCUAACUCUGUCACCGUAUCACCCGCUCCCUCACUCUGUCACUGUGUCACCCACUCCCUCACUCUGUCACUAGUCAACCCAUCCCUCUCUCUGUCACUAGUCACCCCAUCACUCUCUCUGUCACUAGUCA
rnacentral:sRNA from 1 species